UUUUCUUCUUUCCAACUUUUGUCGCUGACCACUCUGGCCCACGGUCUCAUCUCCUACGUCCAGCGUGUUCCUCAUGAACACCCAAUCCCGAAUCCAAUCCGUUGGGGAUUCACUCAAAUCUGUAGUCCCGUCUCCAAGUUGACCCAUAUAUAUAGAUGCCCGUGUGCUCCUCAUCCGAUUUUUGGAAAAAUCAAAGGAUCCCGUGCCCUACACCUCCCUCCCGAUCUCCCUGAACUUGCGCCGCUGACAGAAGCUUUCGCGGUGAAUUUCGUCGCCAUCGCGGUGGAGCACCCAAUCGAGCAGACGGACGUUGACAGAAGCAGUUCGCCGCUGGCCACAGAGAGACCCCUCCUUCGCCGUUAGAACUACCAUCGUCACCUCCGUUGAUCGCCGCGUCUGCACGUCACCUCGCCUUCGCCGGAGAACCGCCGGGGGAAGCGCCGUCGCCCACGCCCGAGCCGCGCCGCCGCCGUCUCGUUCAAGUCCGGCGACCACACAGCCUCUGUUUUCCGAUUGUCCAGAGUGUGAAGCGGACCAGAAUUAAGCGUUAGAGUACUUCAACACCGUUCAAGGCAAGUUUGCACUUUUGAUUUUGCUCAUCCUAUAUUCUGCUAUGCGUGUGUGGUUUUAUGCUAUGCUAUAUGUUUGGCUUGAUAUGUGUAUCCUGUGUUACCAUGUUUUGUUGUCGAUUGUGGUAUGUGAUGGUGUGAUCAACUUGCUAUGGUAGACGUGGGCAUGUGUCGAGUGAUUCCAUGAAAGUGGUGAGUGUUUAUAGCCGUAGGCUCGGGAUAAUUAACCAGGUGAAUGCGUCACUGGCAGAGCGCUCUAUUGUCCCUAGAGAAUGCGCCAUUGACAGAGCGCACUUGAGGCGAGGUAUAGUUUUCGGAACAUAAAUCAGGUGAAUGCGUCCUUGGCAGAGCGCUCUAUUGUUCCUAGAGAAUGCGCCACUGACAGAGCGCACUUGAGACAUACUUCUGAAGUUCUUGUCAUGUUUAUUUAGAAUCUUUGGGUUAUCUUGAGCGAGUAAAUUAGAGACGGUUGUGAGUUCAGGUAGUGGAGGUAGGUGAAGACAUUCUUCUCCAAACUAACUUGCGUGUUUUGUUUGUCAUACAUUGCUUUGUGGAUGUAGGUUUGCUUUAUCAUAUUGUGUGAUUUGCCAAUACAUUCAAUGUAUUGACCCUUUGUGGCUGCAACUUAUCAUGUUGCAGGAUUUUCAGAUGAUCAGUGAGAUACAGUAGGGUCGCGAGUCUUCACUCAGCAUUUUUCGCCAGUGGGCAGUGAUGGGACUCAUCGUCUAUUAUGCUACAUUUCCACUGUUGUUAUUGAAUACAGCUAGCGAUGUGCUAUUCCGUUUGUAAUACUUUAUGAAUUCUGGAUCAUACGUUAUAGUAAAUGAUGCACUUGUUAUUUGAUAUUCAUAUGUACUGUGCGUGCUAGCGAGUCGAGCCAGGGACUAGCACAGUAAGCACAGAGACAUCGAAUCUUAUCAGGUUCGGAUCAUUACAAAGGAUGAUGGUGGAUCAUCACAAAAACCCUCUACCAUGAUGGCAUCCAGACAAAUCAUGAAUCAUAUGCCAUCUACACGAAUCUACAAGAAGCUAGACUACUAAAUAUGAACAAAUUUGAGGCAAAUAUACCUUGGUGCAAGUCGUUGAACACCCUAAGUGUCGAUGUCAUCAUUGACUGAAUGUAAGAGCGGGGGCAGGGAGAGAUUCAUAAGUGA